rnacentral:rRNA from 1 species
CCUACGGGAGGCAGCAGUGGGGGAUAUUGCACAAUGGGGGGAACCCUGAUGCAGCGACGCCGCGUGGGUGAAGGAGUAUUUCGGUAUGUAAAGCCCUAUCGGCAGGGAAGAAGCAAGACGGUACCUGACUAAGAAGCCCCGGCUAACUACGUGCCAGCAGCCGCGGUAAUACGUAAGGGGCGAGCGUUAUCCGGAUUCACUGGGUGUAAAGGGAGCGUAGACGGCCAUGCAAGCCAGGGGUGAAAGCCCGGGGCCCAACCCCGGGACUGCCCUUGGAACUGCAUGGCUGGAGUGCGGGAGGGGCAGGCGGAAUUCCUGGUGUAGCGGUGAAAUGCGUAGAUAUCAGGAGGAACACCGGCGGCGAAGGCGGCCUGCUGGACCGCGACUGACGUUGAGGCUCGAAAGCGUGGGGAGCGAACAGGAUUAGAUACCCCGAUAGUC